CAGCUAGUUGGUGAGGUAACGGCCCACCAAGGCUAUGAUGGGUAGCUGGUCUGAGAGGACGGACAGCCACACUGGGACUGAGACACGGCCCAGACUCCUACGGGAGGCAGCAGUGAGGAAUUUUCCGCAAUGGGCGAAAGCCUGACGGAGCAACGCCGCGUGAGGGAUGAAGUCUCUAGGGAUGUAAACCUCUGUUGGGUGGGACGAAGAUCUGACGGUACCACCUGAGGAAGCCCCGGCUAACUACGUGCCAGCAGCCGCGGUAAUACGUAGGGGGCGAGCGUUAUCCGGAUUUACUGGGCGUAAAGAGCGCGUAGGCGGUUCCGUAAGUUGGUUGUGAAAGUUCGAGGCUCAACCUCGAAACUGCGUCCAAUACUGCGGGGCUGGAGUGCAAGAGAGGCAAGUGGAAUUUGCAGUGUAGUAGUGAAAUGCGUAGAUAUUGCAAGGAACACCAGUGGCGAAGGCGGCUUGCUAGCUUGUAACUGACGCUGAGGCGCGAAAGCUAGGGGAGCGA
rnacentral:rRNA from 1 species